rnacentral:rRNA from 1 species
AUUGAACGCUGGCGGCAUGCCUUACACAUGCAAGUCGAACGGCAGCACGGGUGCUUGCCCCUGGUGGCGAGUGGCGAACGGGUGAGUAAUACAUCGGAACAUGUCCUGUAGUGGGGGAUAGCCCGGCGAAAGCCGGAUUAAUACCGCAUACGAUCUACGGAUGAAAGCGGGGGACCUUCGGGCCUCGCGCUAUAGGGUUGGCCGAUGGCUGAUUAGCUAGUUGGUGGGGUAAAGGCCUACCAAGGCGACGAUCAGUAGCUGGUCUGAGAGGACGACCAGCCACACUGGGACUGAGACACGGCCCAGACUCCUACGGGAGGCAGCAGUGGGGAAUUUUGGACAAUGGGCGAAAGCCUGAUCCAGCAAUGCCGCGUGUGUGAAGAAGGCCUUCGGGUUGUAAAGCACUUUUGUCCGGAAAGAAAUCCUUGGUCCUAAUACGGUCGGGGGAUGACGGUACCGGAAGAAUAAGCACCGGCUAACUACGUG